UACGUAUGGUGCAAGCGUUAUCCGGAUUUAUUGGGUUUAAAGGGUGCGUAGGCGGACGCUUAAGUCAGCGGUAAAAUUGCGGGGCUCAACCUCGUCGAGCCGUUGAAACUGGGUGCCUUGAGUGGGCGAGAAGUACGCGGAAUGCGUGGUGUAGCGGUGAAAUGCGUAGAUAUCACGCAGAACUCCGAUUGCGAAGGCAGCGUACCGGCGCCCUACUGACGCUGAAGCACGAAGGCGUGGGUAUCGAACAGG
rnacentral:rRNA from 1 species